rnacentral:rRNA from 1 species
GGGCGGCGGGAAUUCGAUUCAGGCCUAACACAUGCAAGUCGAGCGGGGUUUUCGGACCUAACGGCGGACGGGUGAGUAAUGCGUAGGAAGCUACCCGAUAGAGGGGGAUACCAGUUGGAAACGACUGUUAAUACCGCAUAAUGUCUACGGACCAAAGUGUGGGACCUUCGGGCCACAUGCUAUCGGAUGCGCCUACGUGGGAUUAGCUAGUUGGUGAGGUAAUGGCUCACCAAGGCGACGAUCUCUAGCUGGUUUGAGAGGAUGAUCAGCCACACUGGAACUGAGACACGGUCCAGACUCCUACGGGAGGCAGCAGUG